UACGAAGGGGGCUAGCGUUGCUCGGAAUUACUGGGCGUAAAGCGCACGUAGGCGGCUUUCUAAGUCGGGGGUGAAAUCCUGGAGCUCAACUCCAGAACUGCCUUCGAUACUGGAGAGCUCGAGUCCGGGAGAGGUGAGUGGAACUGCGAGUGUAGAGGUGAAAUUCGUAGAGUAAUUGGGAAGAACACCGGUGGCGAAGGCGGCGACCUGGUCCGUUACUGACGCUGAGGCGCGACAGCGUGGGGAGCA
rnacentral:rRNA from 1 species